UCGUAACAAGGUUUCCGUAGGUGAACCUGCGGAAGGAUCAUUAACCUUUCAAAACAGGGUGCGUCGCGGCCCCCGAGGUGCGGAAACAAGCCUCGAGCGGUUUGGGGUCCUCCCCUUCACGCGCGCACGACUGCCAUCCUUACUUUACGAGCACCUUCUGUUCUCCCUCGGCGGGGCAACCUGCCGUUGGAACCGAAUAAACUCUUUUUGCAUCUAGCAUUACCUGUUCCGAAACAAACAAUCGUUACAACUUUCAACAAUGGAUCUCUUGGCUCUGGCAUCGAUGAAGAACGCAGCGAAAUGCGAUAAGUAGUGUGAAUUGCAGAAUUCAGUGAAUCAUCGAAUCUUUGAACGCACAUUGCGCCCCUCGGUAUUCCGUGGGGCAUGCCUGUUCGAGCGUCAUCUACACCCUCAAGCUCUGCUUGGUGUUGGGCGUCUGUCCCGCCUCCGCGCGUGGACUCGCCCCAAAUUCAUUGGCAGCGGUCCUUGCCUCCUCUCGCGCAGCACAUUGCGCUUCUUGAGGGGCUCCGGUUCGCGUCCAACAAGCACAUUUACCGUCUUUGACCUCGGAUCAGGUAGGGAUACCCGCUGAACUUAAGCAUAUCAAUAAGCGGAGGAA
rnacentral:misc_RNA from 1 species